rnacentral:rRNA from 1 species
GUUAAGCGACUAAGCGUACACGGUGGAUGCCCUGGCAGUCAGAGGCGAUGAAGGGCGUGCUAAUCUGCGAUAAGCGCCGGUAAGGUGAUAUGAACCGUUAUAACCGGCGAUACCCGAAUGGGGAAACCCAGUGUGAUUCGUCACACUAUCAUUAACUGAAUCCAUAGGUUAAUGAGGCGAACCGGGGGAACUGAAACAUCUAAGUACCCCGAGGAAAAGAAAUCAACCGAGAUUCCCCCAGUAGCGGCGAGCGAACGGGGAGGAGCCCAGAGCCUGAAUCAGCAUGUGUGUUAGUGGAAGCGUCUGGAAAGGCGCGCGAUACAGGGUGACAGCCCCGUACACAAAAGCGCAUAUGCUGUGAGCUCGAUGAGUAGGGCGGGACACGUGGUAUCCUGUCUGAAUAUGGGGGGACCAUCCUCCAAGGCUAAAUACUCCUGACUGACCGAUAGUGAACCAGUACCGUGAGGGAAAGGCGAAAAGAACCCCGGCGAGGGGAGUGAAAAAGAACCUGAAACCGUGUACGUACAAGCAGUGGGAGCACCCUUCGGGGUGUGACUGCGUACCUUUUGUAUAAUGGGUCAGCGACUUAUAUUCUGUAGCAAGGUUAACCGUAUAGGGGAGCCGGAGGGAAACCGAGUCUUAACCGGGCGUUAAGUUGCAGGGUAUAGACCCGAAACCCGGUGAUCUAGCCAUGGGCAGGUUGAAGGUUGGGUAACACUAACUGGA